UACAGAGGUCCCAAGCGUUGUUCGGAUUCACUGGGCGUAAAGGGUGCGUAGGCGGUUGGGUAAGUCUGUCGUGAAAUCUCCGAGCCUAACUCGGAAACUGCGUCGGAUACUAUUCAACUCGAGGAAUGGAGGGGAGACUGGAAUUCUCGGUGUAGCAGUGAAAUGCGUAGAUAUCGAGAGGAACACCAGUGGCGAAGGCGAGUCUCUGGACCAUUCCUGACACUGAGGCACGAAAGCCGGGGGAGCAAACAGG
rnacentral:rRNA from 1 species